rnacentral:rRNA from 1 species
GGGCAGCCAAGUCGUGAGGCGGAGCUAAUCCCUUUAAAGCCAUUCUCAGUUCGGAUUGUAGGCUGAAACUCGCCUACAUGAAGCUGGAGUUACCAGUAAUCGCAGAUCAGAAUGCUGCGGUGAAUGCGUUCCCGGGUCUUGUACACACCGCCCGUCACACCACGGAAGUUGGGGGCGCCCGAAGCCACUUAGCUAACCCUUUUGGGAAGCGAGUGUCGAAGGUGAAAUCAAUAACUGGGGUGAAGUCGUAACAAGGUACC